rnacentral:misc_RNA from 1 species
GAUGAAGAACGUAGCGAAAUGCGAUACUUGGUGUGAAUUGCAGAAUCCCGUGAACCAUCGAGUCUUUGAACGCAAGUUGCGCCUCAAGCCAUUAGGUUGAGGGCACGUCUGCCUGGGCGUCACAUAUCGUUGCCUGAUGCCAGUUUCCUCGUGAUGGGUGACUGUGCAGGGCGAAUGAUGGCUUCCCGUGAGCAUUGUUGCCUCAUGGUUGGUUGAAAAUUGAGUCCUUGGUAGGGAGCGCCGUGAUAGAUGGUGGUUGAGUGACGAACGAGACCCAAUCAUGUGAGACCCCUACCGAAUUUGGCCUUCAUGACCCACAUGCGUCUUUGGAACGCUCAUGACGAGACCUCAGGUCAGGCGGGGCUAGCCGCUGAGUUUAAGCAUAUCAAUAAGCGGAGGA